rnacentral:misc_RNA from 1 species
AAGUCGUAACAAGGUCUCCGUUGGUGAAUCAGCGGAGGGAUCAUUACUGAGUCGUAAAAAACUCCCAACCCAUGUGAAUUUACCUUUGUUGCCUCGGCGGGUUACUUGUAGCCCGCCGGUGGACUAUUCAACUCUUGUUAUUUUAUAUAUAUCUGAGCGUCUUAUUAAAUAAGUCAAAA